UACGUAGGGGGCGAGCGUUGUCCGGAUUCAUUGGGCGUAAAGAGCUCGUAGGCGGUUCGCUAAGUCAGGUGUGAAAUCUCCACGCUCAACGUGGAGGGGCCACCUGAUACUGGCGUGACUCGAGUCCGGUAGGGGAGUGUGGAAUUCCCGGUGUAGCGGUGAAAUGCGCAGAUAUCGGGAGGAACACCAGUGGCGAAGGCGGCACUCUGGGCCGGAACUGACGCUGAGGAGCGAAAGCGUGGGUAGCAAACAGG
rnacentral:rRNA from 2 species